rnacentral:rRNA from 1 species
UACGGGAGGCAGCAGUGGGGAAUAUUGCACAAUGGGCGCAAGCCUGAUGCAGCCAUGCCGCGUGUAUGAAGAAGGCCUUCGGGUUGUAAAGUACUUUCAGUCGUGAGGAAGGUGUUAAGGUUAAUAACCUUAGCAAUUGACGUUAGCGACAGAGGAAGCACCGGCUAACUCCGUGCCAGCAGCCGCGGUAAUACGGAGGGUGCGAGCGUUAAUCGGAAUUACUGGGCGUAAAGGGCACGCAGGCGGUUAAUAAGUUGGAUGUGAAAUCCCCGGGCUUAACCUGGGAAUGGCAUUCAAGACUGGUUAGCUAGAGUCUUGUAGAGGGGGUAGAAUUCCAUGUGUAGCGGUGAAAUGCGUAGAGAUGUGAGGAAUACCGGUGGCGAAGGCGGCCCCUGGGACAAAGACUGACGCUCAUGUGCGAAAGCGUGGGGAGCGAAACAGGGAUUAGAUACC